UGAAAAGGAUACGGGAGUCUGUGGAAUCAGGCUGAGAGUACGGCUAUCAUCCGCCGUUGACCGUUUGAACCUGUUGGGUAAUGCCAGCGUAGGGAAAGUGAUAGAGGCGAUA
rnacentral:ncRNA from 2 species